AGUUCUAACCAGUAGCUAAGACUUCAUUAAGGAGGCAGGCAGAAGUGUGCGCCCAGUAAAGACACAGAAACACAAAAGAAACAGAAAAAAAAAAUUGAAGUGAAAAAAUCAGUAGUAAUGCGACCGACGGACAUGUAACGGCAUUCGCUGUCUGAGAGAGGAAGUGUGUGUGAUGGAACUAGGUGGCUGUGACUUCAGAGGACAAUGCGACCGUUACCCGACCUGCCGUUCCCCAAAGCGGUCACUAACAGGAUCCUGUGACCGCUACAGAUGUCCCCCUGGUCAGUUCUGCACAUUGUUGCAUGACCGCUGCGCUUUGAUGCCAUGUCCGUCACGGCCGGCCUGUGUUUCUUCGAACCAAACAGGUUUCCGCAGAGUGAAGAGGACGUAUGAAAAUUCUGAUCAAUUAAUAUCUUCAUUAUAAAACUAAACUUGCAAAAUAUAAUUUCUUGUAAUGUGAAUUUAAAUUGAUAUUAAGGAUUUUUGUGUCUGUACUAAUAAAGCACACAAUAAAUAUAUAUAACAGAAUGUAAA